UUUUAAAAGUUGAGUAGUUUCAGAGCAUGACCAAGACCAAGACUGUAUCUUGAUACACUUUGGCUGAAGUUUUCACUCCUUUUUUACAAAAAUGUAGUUUUGUGACUCCCUGAUAAGACACGCCCGCACCAAACCAUCACCGACGCAGGAUGAUGAUCACGUUUUACCUUUCCGAGCACUUGAGCAACUUCUUCAAAACUGUGAGCGUACACUUUAUCAUUUUUCUUAUUGUAGUAUUCUUCAAUCGUGAUAAUUUUUUCAUCGGUAAAGAGGAUAUUUCUUUGCCGUUCACCUGCGACAGAAGGCGUAUUGAUCGAUCCACUCUCUUUAAUUAUAAAUAUUGAUUUAGGGCAUGUCCUGUAUAUACAGAUACGAUAAGUACCAAGUUUCGAGUCUUGUUUUAUAAUACUCGACAGAGUCCUAUCGGGAAUCCUCUUUUUUUAUUUUUUAUUGCCCGUGUAUGGACGAGCAAAGCCGCUGCCUACCGUUAAGUACCCUCCACAAGCCUCGUUUGAAGAAGGACAUGUCAUAGCGCUCGGGAAAUACCGUGGAGGGGAGCUCAUUCCAAAGCCGGGUGGUACGGGGCAAGAAAGAUCUCUGGAAGCACACUGUGGAUGAACGCAGUGGCUCCAGGUAGUAUGGAUGAACUUUUCUCCGGUGGCGGGCGGUGCGAUGGUACAUACGGUUCAAAAUACAAAGGGAACCGAAGUCCGUCCACAGACCCAGUUGCUCCAAACAAUCCGUGAAUAGGAUUAUUAACAAUCCCAACGGCUCUCUUCUGUAUGGAGUCAAAUGGAAGAAGCUGGUAUUCUUUUAUUUUAUUUUUUUAUUCUUAUUUUAAUCUUUUAUUCUUCUGAUAUUCUUCAUUUCUCGCGAUAAGGUUUUUUGCUUCCUAAUGGGGUUUCGACGAAUUCUGGCUUUAACAGCAUUAACAGCCUUUGUAGUUCUAGCAGCACGCGACCUCCCCGAUCUUUUCUGGUCUUCAACAGACGAAGUGUUGUUGUAUCUGUUGAUAGUACGAUAUACGAACAUACGGCUGAUACCAAGCUUUUGAAGUGUCUGGAAUAUGACCGACGGCUCCAUACCCACUUUGUGCAAGGCGAUCACUGCAAUCUUAUUUUCUUUAACACCCCACUCCAUAUUGUAAUUUGAUAAUGUACACGAAAAGAUAUGUGAAAUGGCGCCAAAUUAAAAGAAGUUUUUAAAAUAAUAUACGUGUUCCAAAUUCAAAAUAAUUAACAAGUUGAAAAAACGAAAAAGUUUUUAUGUAACAGUAUUUAUGGACAGACUAGGUAUAUUUAUGAAAUUACUGAUCGCAGAGGAUAGUGUAAAAAUUAGGCUAUUGCAAGCCCGCAUGGAUAAGUACAAUCGUCCUGCCUAUUGCUGUCGUUAAACAGACACGUGUUUUAGUUUGAAAGUUGAGACAGACUUCAUAAAGUGGGCCAUGAUACCUAUUUGGUACCAAUCGUGUGAAUUUUACAAAAUACAUCAGAAAUCACAAUCCAUUUUAAUAAAAUAAUUUACUUGAAACGCUAAAGCAAAUAAUAACUAUUUACAAUUAUAUAGUACAAAGUCAUAAAUCGUGACUAAUAUCUUGUUGGCACGUUAUUACGUGCUAGAUUUAAAUCAAACUACCUACUAUGAACUUGUAUUCGAUACUGUAUGCAAUAAAAAUAUAAUUGUGUUGUAUUUUUAAUGUUUAUCAAGCGAGAAAUAAUUAUAAAAUAUUUACUUUCAAAAUAUUAAUAAUUAAUUGCGAGUUGAGUUUUAUUAAAUUAAUAGCGACCCGCCCUCGCUUCGCUUCGGAAACAUUAAAUUUUAUUAUUGACAGCUGAGUCCCGCGAUGUAACCCGCGGUUAUUGUCGUACCGCGGGUGACGCCGCGAGGCGAAGCUAGUCUAAAAAAAGUAGCCUAAGUUACUCAAGAGAUUACAUACAAGAUGAUGAAGCUACUCUUUAUAUCAUCAGCUACCUAUCAGUGAAAGUCCCGUCAAAAUCGGUCCAGCCGUUCCAGAGAUUAGCCGGAACAAACAGACAGACAGGCAAAAAUUGUAAAAAAUGUUAUUUUGGUGUAUGUGCCGUAUAUAUAUAUUCAUAUGCAUAUAGUAAAGAGCGCUAUUAUUUAAAACAGACACACCAAUUUUAUUUAUAUGUAUAGAUAAUUCACCAAUGUCAUAAGAUCUCAGGCAUUUAAAUAGUUGAAUAAAAAUUUUAUAAAAUAAAAUAGUUGAAGUUGAAAGAAAAGUGGAAGAAGUUGAAAGUUGAAUAAAAUAGUUAUAAAAAAACAAAAAUCAAGAAAGAGACAUUUUUUAUCACAGUCAACUAAUCUAAUUCUUUUCCUCUCCUUAUUCUUGUACAAACACAAAGAGUUACUAGCAGUUCAUAAAGGUGAAAACAACAUUAAAUUCAGCAAACAAAAGAAAUUCUCGUUAAAAUCCUCUAAGGAAACUAAUAAAAGUUGUUAAACUAUAACUAAGACUUAAAAUUAGCUACAUUUUAUGAAUACGUAACUUCCAUAAUCUUUAAGACAUUUUUUAGUUUUUGAUGUAGGUAUAUAAACAAAGUGAAUAAGUAGGUACGUAAUCAAAACAAAUACAGUAGCAACCUUAUGCUUAAACAAAACCGGAUAAACCUGAACGAAUAAAGGAAAGAAAGGACAUCCGAAACUGAGCGGAGCUAAUGAGCUCCUCAUAAAUAGAUUCAUGUUUAAUAUAUUAGGAGUCAGCUGCAUUUUUUCGGCUUUCUUUGCGACUAGGGAACGCGCGAGACUAUUUACAGGGGCUUAAGUUAAGCAGUUACACUUUAAAAUGAACGGUCUUGGCUUCCAGACAGUUUCUUAAAUUGGUAUACCGACUCAGGAACUGUCUUCAGCCCUUUAAGCCUUAAAUAUUGUAAAAUAUAGUAAGUAGUACUUGAUACUUAAUUUUAUUUUUAUGCGUAUACGAUGGUAAACUUUGCUUUAAUUUAUUGUACUAUUUAUGUAAUCAAAAUGAGCUCCUUUGAGUCAUUUCACAUAAAUUCGUAGCGUAUGUUUGAAUAUCUUAAAAAAAUACGGUCUCGUGUGAGAGAAUCGUUUGUGAUAUAAAAUGCAACACUUGUCGAUACGCAAAGCGAUUAGGUAUGAAUUAUGUAAAGAUCUGUCCAGCUGCCGACUUCAACUGAUACACAAUGAACAUACGAAAUUCGUACAAGCUGCUUACGAAAGCGACACUUCAAUACAAACAUUUCAAAAUGGUAUUCAAUAAAUUUAUUUACGUACGAAUAACUAAAACGAGCACUCCAGAUCCCUUCCCAAAUUAUAAAUAUGUCUUGUUUAAAGCUAUUUUUUGUGUGAACGAAAUGUAGUAAAGCUGUUUAAGGUUUAUUUUCAGUUUUUAAUUGCAUAGAGUAAUCAUCAUCAUGCCUAUUUCCGUAGAGAAGGAACCACGUGAUCCGGUCUGAAGGAUGUAAUUUAAAUGGGAUUUAAAUCUUAUGUUUCAAGGAGGGCGGCGGUGUUUACCCAUCGACGUUACUAAAAAUGCGGCUGAGGUCGCAAUUUAUGUCUCUCGCGGGAGACGAAGAGUAAUGUCGGUGUAGGGCGAAAAGAGGAAAAAAACCAGUCGCCGACCCAACAAGUUCAGCCAAUUAUAACUGACAAGAGGCGCAGGCGCGGCCGCUCACGAAGCAACAUAUAUUUAACUACACUUUUUCCAUUAUUCCACGCUAUUUAAACAGGAUGUGUAAUUUUGAUUCUAAUUAUUUAACGGAUGAACCUUUCGAUGGUAUUCUGUGGACGAGUGAAGCGUUUUAAUUAUUUCGAAAUACUAGAUAAAAAACGAGGACGUACGUUCGAAAAUUUAAAAAGUGACUUGGAAUGAAUCAUGGCGUGCGAUCCCGAAGAAAUAUUACACCGAAGCUGGCACCAUAAAGCAAACGGCGUGGCACAAGCGAUACAACGAUAGCGACACUGCUAGCCCCGACAGAACUCGCCUGUCUACCUAAAAUCUACAGGCCGUUCCGAAAACAAAACAUGUUUUUAAUAAAUCUAUAGUUAUUAGUGGCUAUCACACUCCAUUGAUUGGUUGGUCGAGCCUAAUACGUGAGACGCCCGGUUUAUAUAUAUGUUUAUACCUUCUAGUUUAAUUAAUCUAAGGGCUGGUACCGAUUUUUAUAAACAACUAUGAAAACAAAAUCUGCUCUACAUGAUCAAGAGAUAAUAAAUUAAAUUAAACACGCAAAAUUCAUAAGUAUAUUAAGUUUCCGAUAGAACCACAUUUCGUUUGAUGAGCAGGAUGUAUAUCUGUCAUCGUACGUAAAAAUAAAUUCCGGAUAGAUUAGUUCACGAUUCUGCUAUAAAAUUAGUCUCGAUUAAUAUCCUAGCUAUUCUAUUGGAAUUGCGAUUUUGUUUUCGUAAUAUAUCGGAGGAUAUGGUGUACUCUAUGGAUAGGGUCUGUUGUUCGAGUGAUCACUUAAUACUACGAUUAUAAUCGCUUACAAGCUAUUGUUUCAAUAAAAUAUUGCUAUAAUAAAUAUUGCCACUAUCAUCAUAAUCAGCCUAAUCGUCCACUGCUGGACCUCUCCCAAUUUGUGCCACUGAGCAACACUACAAUCUAAUUUAAGACAAUAUUGUGCUAGCAUUUCAAAAAUGUCGAAAAAUAGCACCUUAGUCGUCCGCGAUGACGACGAAAACUGUGAAGUGUUGCAAGCUUCGGAAAUUAUAUAAUUACAACAAAUAACGCGAGAUUAAACCGUAAAAGUAUUUUUUAUUAUGUUUUCCACUCGCGAAAACCGAAGAAAAUACCACUUGCCACCAAAUGCUUGUCAUUCUACAACUUUACUUUUAUCUUAAUGAAAACAUCCGCUUUUUCACAUAAUGUUACCUCCUUAUUGAGGAUCGUGAUCGCUACGUGAACUAAUCCCUAGCGGAUUUUGUCUGUCCAUCGGGUCUGAUCUCUUCCCUUUAACCCUUGCCGUAAUUAUUCAUUAUAAAAGACCAUAUCUCCUGGCAAAAUACUUAAACCCAAUUUUAUGUGGCACAUCACAGUACAUUUCGAAUUAUAUAAAGUUAAUUGUUGUUUGUACAAAAAACGUAAAGGUAAAUUGAAUUUAUAAAAGUAGGUACAUAUGCAUAUCUACUGAAUAAAAACUACAUAUUUGGCUUUAUGUCAACAUUGGACCUUCCGUGGAUUAUAUAAACUGUCGCCAGCACAGCUAUGUACACAGGUAUACCUACUAUUAUUUACCUAACCGAUUACAAUAACAAUUGAUUUACAAAAUUACUUGUACAUUAUUGAGUUUACCUUAAGAUUGUUGCUAUGGAAUAUCAUGUUAACUAGGAAGAUUUAAAAAAAUGACACAAAUUUAUAGUAUCUAUAAAAGUUUACUGAAUAUAAUUAUCGUCAAAUGAUGUGACUGCAUUAAUUUAUGAUGCCAAUCAAUUAAGUUAAAAUUUUAUAACUUAAUCUAAUUAAAGAAAACUAAAAACUAUAGCUAAAAAACACCGCCGCACGCCACGUAAAAUGUACUAAUUAAUUAGAUAAGUGGCCAUCGAAGAUUCGAAAAUGAAGCCGCCUGUAUAUAACUCCCACAUAUAUUACUCACCAACACAGGGACGUAAUGAAGCAAUUAUAUAUCGAUAUUUUUAUGCAUAAGAUACUUGGCGGGUAUCGGGCCUGACCGCAUCGUUCAGAAAUAAAACAAAGCUUGAGGUUAUUGUUGGAACGGGUAGGUGUGCGUCUCGGUUAUCAAGCUUUUAACCAGACAUGCGACGCGACGCGACAUCGACAAUAUUUAUCACCUCACUUGCACACAACUCAUUCUUACUUCCCAAGCGGAAUAUCAAAUGAACUUAGGUACAUUAAAAGAAAAUAAGAUUUUUAUUAAAUUUGAGUGCAGGACAUAUUGUCUUUACGAAAUUACCUACCUACAUACUGAAAAAAAAUACCCUUAAUUAUUUAAUCUUAACAAUACAGAUGAAUAUUACAAAUACUAAUAGUGCUAAAAUGUGCUUACGCGCUAUCUUUUAUUAAGACUAUUUUUGAUCAACACUUUAAAACUCGGUUAAUAUAAAACACGCGACCGUCGCAGUCGCUUUGCAUGCGAUUAAUAUCGUCUAUUCCUUUCUUUCGCCCACUGUUGAUAAGAGGAGAGAUAAGGACGACUUGUACCGGUCGGAUGGAGACGUUUGCCAAGUACUUUAUGAGCGCUAAACCCUAACGUGUAUAUCGUUUUCGUUAUGCAUUUAUUCUUAUAUUUGAUAUAUACCACUUAUGUAAUAUAAUAAUAUUUGACUUUUUUCUCCGCACUGGCACAAGACGGAUAAUUUUCCAUGGCCCUUCCUUAAUUUUCCACAUCCAGAUAGUCUAAAUAAAAAUUGGCCUCUGUAAUGCUGUUAAAAUUGGCAUAAUUUGAAGAAAAGAAACUAAUUUAAACACGAAUGAAGUCAGCUGAGAAACUUAGGAAAAAAAUAUCGCAUUGUAGUCUUGUGUUCGGAUAAAACAAAAAAAAUAAAAUAAAGGAUAUCUGAAUUUAGUAUGUGUGCGUGUGGCAGUUCUUGGCCGAGUUUGUUCAACUUGUGUCUUCAGUUAACUCGUUCAGGUAUAUUUAUGUCUAAAAGCUUUAGUUCAGGCCGGUUACACUGACUUCCUUGACGGAUAUAAUUGUUUUACUAUUUACAACAUUGCUUUUUAAUAAAAAAACCUUUAAAGAAAAACUGUUUGUGAUUGUGUUUGUAAAUUUGUUAGUACUAAUAUUCACGUGGAAGGUUGCUCAUGCGAUUGACCGACCAUGUCAUGUCAGCAGCUGGCGGGUUGCUUGCAUGAUUGUACCAGGCUCACCACAAACCUGGAGAAGUGGCGAUUGCUUGUGAGGCGCAUAGCAUCUGCCCACAGCAGCGAUACUUAAUGAAGACCACGACCGCUCUGACAAGAGUGACAUGACAAAGGAGAAAGUUCGCAUACGUAAUUGAAAAAUUGAACUGAAAGAAAACAGUCCAAACUCGCCAAAGAACGUAACGAAAACAAAACAAAAACAUUGUAAUAUGAUUCUACAUAAAACUUUUACCUACUAUCGUUAAGAGCGCUGGAAUGAUUUUAUACACUGCGAUUUGAAUGAUUUACAGUUUAUUUGGGUAAAAAUAAGUACUCUACGUCUUAAUUAAAUGCUGUAUUUAUAGCGAUUUUCAUUCCAUGCUUCAUAGAUGUAAAUCGUACUUUUUAUUAUGCCUACUCGUGUUAAAAUAUCUACACGUGUUCGAAUUUAACAAUUUUAGCUGUCAAACAAACGGGGCUUUCAAUGCUUCGAAUUUAAAAAAUAAAACGUUUUAAGUGGCGUAACCUAAUUUCGUGGGAGAACGUUUUUCGCAUAACAGUUUGGUUUUUUGCAUGCGCAUCUAUAAUAAGAGCUCUUAUUAUUUACAAUAGAUUAUAAUACAUAGAAAUUAUAUUUACGAUGGUUCUCUUGAUAAACAGUAUUUACUAUUUAUUGACAGAAGAAUCUGAAUCUAAAUAGGUUUAGAGAAAAGUCGAUAUUCGUGUGUUACAUUUUGAGACAUAAAGCGUUCUUAUUUCUACAAAGACGAUGAACAGCAACCGUUGUCAUCAGAUAGUAAGAACGACAUAUUUUUAAAAGUAAAAUACACACAUUGGGAAAUAAACAUAAAAUACCUAUGCAGACUAUAAUAUAUGCUCUACUACUAAGUAUAUAUUAUUUAUAGAACCAAAGAAUCAAUUAAUAAUCCAUAAAAUAAUCAAUAAUCAGUCGGCUAUUCAUUCUAAAAAAUAAGUAUCAAAACAAUCAACAUUCGUGGGUCCGUAAUAUAUCCGCAUUUCGCUCGCUUUUGGCUCUGAUAAGACGGCCGAAUAGUGGCUCGACAUUUAUCUUUUAGAUUAAUGAGCCAAUUUUCUUAGUUGGCUAUAGAAAGAAUCGCUAGGUCGGCCUCGAAAGCCAUCAAGACCACUUAUGGGUUAACUUUGGGAUGUGAGAUAAUUUUAUUCCUCUGUGAAUUCGUUUGCAAAAAUGUUAUGUUGUUUAUUUUAACUUCACAAAAUAUAAAUUUACAUUUUUUACGUCUCAUAUUCAUUUCCCGAGAAAAGAAUAUGAGAGGUAAAAUUCAAAACAACAAUUAUAAGGACAAAAAUUCUUCCCCUGUCCCUCGAGUGGAAUACCGAGAAACAAAUUGGAUUAAAACGUCAAAGGUGAAAUAAAAACACGCAUAUACUUUAUCUCCCGCGAUGUCUGUGCAACAUCAAAAUUGCAACACCUCAAAAUUGAAGUUGCAAUUUUCAACGUCUUUCGUAGUAAAAAGGGGAUUACAAAGUCCAAAAUUCCACGAGAAAUAUAUUUUUCAUCAGCGAGUGUCAUGUGAACGCUCGGUGUAAUCGUAUUUGCAUUUAAAACGGUAAGUAAACAUAGAGUUGAGUAUUUUGUGAAUGGACGAGUCCGUGUUUAUGACUCGUUUUACGACCUGUUAAGCGAAGGAUCGCUCGUAAAAUAAAUCGUUUGAUGGUUAGUAGUUGCUCUAGUUGUUCUUUUUACAAAACAGGAUUUACUCGCAUACCUUCGUGUGUAAAAUGGCGAGUUUAAAACGGAAUCUCGCGUUGCAACUGUUCAGUUUGUAAGCAGUUUUUAUGCAAAACAAAUGAAGCAAUGUAAAGUUUAAUAAAAUGUAGUAUGUAUAGACGCAAAAGUUAUGUGGAAUAUGGAUACGUACCCGCUUUGUUUUCGCCCACAUAAAUCGGGCUUGUACAACGGGCCCGCUAACUUAUUUUUGUACGGAGGUACGCCAGGAUAGAUGGAUCCAAUUCCAAAUUAUGUCUAUCUUGGGAAUUAACGGUGGAGCGGGGAUUCCAGUUUAUCCAAAAAAGUGCGGGAAACACGGACGGUGGUGUAAAGGGGGAGGUACAAGAGGGAACGGAUGGAAGUUAUUUUGGAAUUAUGAUUCCGGAUGCGUCCUGUGAGCGGCGCGUGUUUCACGCCUCGUUUCGUUGUAAUAUCUACCGGUCGCAACUGUUCUACUUGCAAUCCUGAACUACUACGAAAUUACUGUACAGAUUGGCAUUCAAUACUGUGUUUAAAUGGAUGUGCCUUUUUGUUGAUGAAGCAAAGUGGCCCAAAAAAGAAAGCCAGCACUUUAUUUUGUCAUUAAUUACUCAUUAAUAAAUAAUAGGUUGUAAUAAAUAAACGUUCAACAUUGAAAAACUCAGGCUAGGUUUUAUUUUAUAUUAUAGAUAGAAGGAACGCAAAUACCAGAUAAGAAUAAAUAGGACGAGUAUUAACUACACAUCAAAAAGAUAUUGACUCAAAUCUCAAAUUUUGUUUCUCAAAAAGUUUAGGGGUCACACAUCACUUGACCAACGAGGUGCUCCAAUACCUGAAUUUUUUUUUGUUUCUUUUUAAAGGCUGAUCAGCACGCAUCCUAUCUGGUAAGGUCGCCGGUACUCAUAGCGCUGAGAACUUAAAGUUCUUGAACCUUCUUUUUCUAAAUUAUGAUUGAUAGGGCGAUAUUCUGAGAUUUAAAACGUAACGUGUCUACAUUUAAUAACAAGAUAGAAUCAUCCUAAAUUUAAUAAUCGUGUCAUAAUAAUUAGAAUAUUUAUUCGAAAAUAAAAAUACAUAAGUAACCUAGGGUGACAGUAUAAAACAGAACGCGCGUGUUCCGUACCUAAUCUCAUUCCCAUUUUGGUCCGAAAUUAAAACGUCUGCCCAAAAAUGCGGGACGUGUGUUUUAAUGGGGUGUCACCAGGGUUCUUAAGUAUUCUACCGGCCCACCCUAUAAUACCCAGUCUCCUUAGUCUGGCACGUCCCCCCUUGAUAUAUUAGUCCCAGUUCGUCGUACAUAAUUUUGCAGAGGGUGGUGCCCCCCUUGCUCCCUCGCGAGUGAAGCGAUCUUAACAAUACCGCGGACUAGUUUAUUGAUGUACGUAUAAUAAAUUUGAAAAUUCAAUCAAGAAUCUUAAGUACUCUUAUAAAAAAAGACAUUAACAAUUACAUUGAACGUUAUUUGUGCAAUUAGCAAAAUCCUGAUGACAAAUCAUCAUUGACUACGUGCAAAAAGUUAUACCUACUCAGUUUUUUACAAAAACGUUAGUAGUCAUACCUAAUAGUAAAAAUGUCGAAAUCGUUAAAAAAAUAGCACAUAGCAAAUAUUGGGCUGACGACGUCGAUUUGCCAAAAGAAUUAAAAUUUUAGGAAACAAUUAAACAAAACACUGCAGAUUAAAAAUAAACUGAUUUGUCAUGCUCUGAAAUUAACGACAUUCAAGUUUUGUUUUGCGAGUGGAUAAGCUGAAAAUAGCGCAGAAUCGGAGCUGUAAAAGCAUCCGGUGGUCGUGCGGUGAAACUUAAUGCGGCUCUAGAUUCCAAUUGCUUCAUCUAUCUUUCUGAACUUUAUUAUAUUUUGGAAUGAUUUUCUAAUUUAUUGGAUACAUUUAAAACGCGUUCCAAACAUAUAUUCAAAAGGGAGCUUCUUUUAAUGGAUUAGUAGAUAUGGAGUAGAAACCAAUACAUAAACUGCAAACUCAAUUAUAAAUCCACUGGAGUCCCAUCCGUCUCUUGCGGUCACGUGAGCUCCAAUAUUGAGGAGGCUCACAUUGAUCGAAGUUCAAAGUAACUUUGUACAAAAUUGUGGGGCUCAAAUUGAAAGAUAUUGCCGGCCCACCUAAUGUAAUUUUAUAGGUGAAUCCCACAUAAUAUGUUUUAUUGGCACCGUUUCCUACAAAGGGAGAAAUGAAAACGACCGCAAAAUCAAAAAAGUUGAAACAUUUAUAAAGUUUGAGUAAUUUAGAAACUUAUACGUACACACAAUAAGCUUCACAUAGCAUACAAAGUUAUUAUAUUAGUCCAUUAGUUAAAUAAGGUAAGAUUUCUCUCCCUAUCUUGGCGAGUUGUUUAUCAUACGAACGCCUACUUUAGGGACUCACACCGUACAAUAUAUUGUGGUUAAGUCAUUUAAUUUCGUACUAGCUAUGAAUCUUCAUUUAGGUAAUUUGAAUCUUAUAAAGUAGUUGUUUAGUGAGACAGAAAUUUAUUGCUUCUUGCAUCACACGUACUCAGGAAAUUUAUGGACACUCGUGAUUAAUAAUUUCUAACAUUAACACUGCUGUCCCGUAACAAAUGAUUGAUAUUGUAUUUACAAAGUUUUAAGUGAAGAGUCUCGGUGCGUUGUUUAGUAUCUGUAAACAAUAAAACUGAUAAAAAGUGAUAUCACGCCACAUUGAGUCAUUAGAAAACACUAAGCCGUUGGGCUGUAAAUCAAUGCGCCCACGCAACCUCACCGCAAACUCUGUUUUGUUUAUAGCGACCCAAUGGGCUGUAGAUACGAAGUCCUUAUUCGUUUUUGGUCAUUUUUUGGUCUUUGAAUCGUUUCCUUGGACAAUAUUUGAAAACAUCGAAUCACCCGCCGCUUAAAGUCUAUAAUGUUGACGGUUGAGUACAACUGGUCAUCCUUUAUUUAGUUUCAGAGUUUCAGUCUUUGAAUUUAUUACUCUUUUUUUUUUAAUGGCUACGAACAUAUGACUAUUUGGCGCACCUGAUGAUAAGUGGUUACCGUGGCUCAUGGACAUCAUCAAUGCCAGGGGCACAGCCAAGUUGCUGCCCAUCAUUGCGUACUCUCCGCAGAGCCUCGUUUGAAGAAGAAUAUGUCAUAGCGCUCGGUAAGCAGCGUAGAGGGGAGUUUAUUCCAAAACCACAUAGUAUGUAUCAGAAAAGAUCUUUGAAAACGUGAUACACAAUAAAAAGUUAUUCUCUUAACCUUGUUAAAAUGAUAUGUAAAUAUUAUCGCCUAUAUCGAGACAUAGAGACGAAAACUCAAUUGUAUUGCAUAACCGUUUCACACUUUAAAACACACUUGGCAGAAACAAACAGGAUUGUCAUAGAUAUGUUCCCGCCCGUGGUCACGAAACACCCUAGGUCUUGAUUAAUACUUUGACGAUUACAGUUUUCUGGUAUUUAUAGUUUGAUAAUACUACUACCCGUUGAACCAAUGAGCUUCCUGACAAUUUCUGUAUUCUAUUGGUCUCAUUUCUGUAGUCUUAUAGAUGAACGUUUUUAGCGGUAAUGCGAGAGUUAUUUUGUUAAAUUAAGUGUUUCAUCAUGUGCAGUAUGGACUGUAGUAUGAAUUAUGGACUGAUAGAAGACUAACAGAUCGCAGCCCAGUCAAAUGGUUCGAUAAACUUCGCUCAACACCAAGGGUGCUCUUCAUGAAGCCAAGGACAGGUGCAGAUGGAGAAACAUCAACAAAGAUAAAUUAAUCUUUCAUCGGAGAAUUUACUACCCUCAGUAAUCAGGAAGAUAACAUAAUUAAGGAAGGAAUUAACUGAUUAGCAUGUGUGAUGGAACUGCAUAAGUAGGAGAACGAUACAAAAAUCGCUGGAUGUUGCUCCUCAAGGCUUUAUUUAUUUUACAAAGUAUGUAAAUAAAUAUGAAGAUUUGAUUAAAUUGAACAUGACAAUAAAGUCGUUGCAUGAAGCCGAUUUCGAUAGUGAAAAAAAAGAAGAAAGCACUGUAGAUCCCGAGUUCAUUGCUUGUCCUUCAAAAAACCUUAAUAGAAAGCUGCAGUGGUGAAGACCUUGAAUCCAGAAGUUCUAAGUACGAAAACAUUUCCCUCGUAUAUCUUUGAACAUUCAACAAGACGUAGUGUCAAUAAAAGACGAAACUUGGCAGAAAAUCGGUCGUAUAAAUUAUUUAAUGGACUCAAAGACACUUAAACUGGGAUACCAGAGUUGGGUGGCCCGAUGGUACGGCAGCAAAGUAGUCCGACUCGUAUUUAUCACUUCACAGCUGUGCAUCUAUGAUGGAUUUUAUUCAAGAUGGCCGCCGGCGUGCCCUAUACAUGGGUCGCGAGCACCUUCUCUGAUGUUAUUAGGGCACGUCAAUCUCACGAAUCAUCAUAAUAAUCGAAAUUUAGAUUACACUAGUUUUCAAA